UAGAAUGCUAUUGUAAUCCAG
rnacentral:miRNA from 1 species